GCGUUAACGAACGAGACCUCGACCUGCUAAAUAGUUGGACAAAGGAUUCGUUCCUUUGGUUCGACUUCUUAGAGGGACUAUCGGUGUGUAGCCGAUGGAAGUUCGAGGCAAUAACAGGUCUGUGAUGCCCUUCGAUGUUCUGGGCUGCACGCGCGCUACACUGAUGCAUUCAUCAAGUCGACCACCUUGGCUGAGAGGCCUGGGGAAUCUUUGCAACAUGCAUCGUGCUGGGGAUAGAUUAUUGUAAUUAUUGAUCUUCAACGAGGAAUUCCUAGUAAACGCAAGUCAUCAACUUGCAUUGAUUACGUCCCUGCCCUUUGUACACACCGCCCGUCGCUAGUACCGAUUGAAUGGAUA
rnacentral:rRNA from 1 species